UUAGAGCUUAUGGCAGAUUGUCUUCGGAAUUUACCACUUCUAGUGGUGUUCGUCAAGGUUGUCCGCUAUCUCCAU
rnacentral:precursor_RNA from 1 species